ACAAAAACAUGUCUCUUUGAUAAUAUUAUAUAAAGAGUCGAACCUGCCCGGUGAAAAUUGUUUUAACGGCCGCAGUACUUUGACUGUGCAAAGGUAGCAUAAUUAUUUGCCUUAUAAUUGAAGGCUUGUAUGAAUGGUUUGACGAGAAUAAAUCUGUCUUAGUAUAAUUUUUUAGAAUUUAACUUUUAAGUGAAGAGGCUUUUAUUUUAUUGAUAGACAAGAAGACCCUGUCGAGCUUAAAUUUUAUAUGUAAGUAUGUAUAUUUAUAUUAUUUAUGAAUUUUAGUUGGGGUGACUGAGGAACAUAAAAGUUUCCUUAAAAAAAAUUUAUAUAUUUAUUGAUUUUGAUCCACAAUUAGUGAUUAGUAGAAUUAGUUACCGCAGGGAUAACAGCAUAAUCUUUUUUGAGAGUUCAUAUCGAAAGAUGGGUUUGUGACCUCGAUGUUGGAUUAAAGUGUCCUAAGGGUGCAGAAAUUUUUAAGGGUUAGUCUGUUCGACUAUUAAAACUUUACAUGAGCUGAG
rnacentral:rRNA from 1 species